rnacentral:misc_RNA from 1 species
GAUGAAGAACGUAGCGAAAUGCGAUAAGUAAUGUGAAUUGCAGAAUUCAGUGAAUCAUCGAAUCUUUGAACGCACAUUGCGCCCCUUGGUAUUCCGAGGGGCAUGCCUGUUCGAGCGUCAUUAUAACCCUCAAGCUCAGCUUGGUGUUGGGGCCUGCUGCACUGGCAGCCCUUAAAAUCAGUGGCGGCGCCAUCUGGCUCUAAGCGUAGUAAUUCUUCUCGCUAUGGAGUCCUGGUGGAUGCUUGCCAUCAACCCCCAAUUUUUCUAUGGUUGACCUCGUAUCAGGUAGGGAUACCCGCUGAACUUAAGCAUAUCAAUAAGCGGAGGA